CCUACGGGAGGCAGCAGUGGGGAAUAUUGGGCAAUGGGCGAAAGCCUGACCCAGCAACGCCGCGUGAAGGAAGAAGGCUUUCGGGUUGUAAACUUCUUUUGACAGGGAAGAGCAGAAGACGGUACCUGUCGAAUAAGCCACGGCUAACUACGUGCCAGCAGCCGCGGUAAUACGUAGGUGGCAAGCGUUGUCCGGCUUUACUGGGUGGAAAGGGCGUGUAGCCGGGCUGACAAGUCAGAUGUGACAUCCGGGGGCUCAACCCCCGAACUGCAUUUGAAACUGUUGGUCUUGAGUAUCGGAGAGGCAGGCGGAAUUCCUAGUGUAGCGGUGAAAUGCGUAGAUAUUAGGAGGAACACCAGUGGCGAAGGCGGCCUGCUGGACGACAACUGACGGUGAGGCGCGAAAGCGUGGGGAGCAAACAGGAUUAGAUACCCCUGUAGUC
rnacentral:rRNA from 1 species